rnacentral:misc_RNA from 1 species
UUUGAGAAGCUGCACUACAGUGUGGCUACCAAUGAACCCAGCCCCACCAGUCACAAGAAUUGUUUGCUCAGCCAUUAUUAAAGAAGCCAAAAAUGUUCAAAGAAAUAGAUCAAAGACAACAGAAAAGAGAAAGAAUGAAGAAAGAAAGCAGUGAACAUAUAGUUGGGAAGAAAAGGGUGGGUGUCUAUUUAAGAAAAAGAACAAAUUUUUAGUUUAAGCAAAUCAAGGAGGCUGUUAAAUUGGGAUAAGAAAUUUUCGAAAUUUGUUUUAGCAGAUUACAGGUUGUUUUUUGGGCGUUUAAAAUCCUAUCCUCUAUCCUAACCAAAAUUAGAAAAAAUGAUGUCCCAUCUUUUGAAAGCACAGCUUAACAAUUCAUUUUUACUUAUAAUUGCAAAUUUUAAUUGCUCUAUUUCCUUCAAAAUUCUACCUAUCUGAAUUAAAAAUUAUAUAUUUCUACUCUUAAAUUGAAACUUUUACCGACUUAUCUGGCUAUGUCACCUCCGCUGUCUUCAUCUUCACCCUCAGCUCUCAUGUCUUUAAGCCCUAAGUUUUAAGGGUUUCAAUUUCCAAAUUCCAUGAGUAGACUUUGUCGUCCACGCACCUUGUACGCGAUUGGAUUCACAUUAAAGAAAACUGUAAAAAGCGCGCGAAGAAAGCUACCUGCAAUCUACUAAAACAAACAAGCUAGCGUGCCCGGCUAAAGCUGAACAAUCAGUUCUCGUCACAUUAAAGAAAACUGUAAAAAGCGCGCGAAGAAAGCUACCUGCAAUCUACUAAAACAAACAAGCUAGCGUGCCCGGCUAAAGCU